GCCAACGGCCACUCCACGUUGAAAGCACCAGUUCUCGUCCGAUCACUGAAGUUAAGCAACGUCGGCCCGGUUAGUACUUGGAUGGGUGACCGCCUGGGAACCCCGGGUGCUGUUGGUA
rnacentral:rRNA from 1 species